UUCACUUCUCUGCCUUUUGGCUAAGAUCAAGUGUAGUAUCUAUUCUUGUCAGUUUAAUACAGUUUUCAUACUGUUGGCUUUUU
rnacentral:snRNA from 1 species